UACGUAGGGGGCAAGCGUUAUCCGGAUUUACUGGGCGUAAAGCGCGUGUAGGUGGUUGCGCAAGUUGGUUGUGAAAUCUCCCGGCUCAACCGGGAAACUGCAGCCAAUACUGCGUGGCUAGAGUGGCAGAGAGGAAAGUGGAAUUCCGCGUGUAGUGGUGAAAUGCGUAGAGAUGCGGAGGAACACCAGUGGCGAAAGCGACUUUCUGGUCCUUAACUGACGCUGAGGCGCGAAAGCAUGGGGAGCGAACGGG
rnacentral:rRNA from 1 species